GAUCUUGUAUAUAUUUCCCUGUCUGUUUUUUUUUUUUAAAUGGAGCAUCUCUGUUAUCUAUAGGACAAGAAAAAAAAAAGAAAUGGAAGAUGCUGUGUAUUUUAAUGACUGUUGAUUUGGCCUAGGGUCUGGUGGGGUAGUGGCUCCAAACUAACAUGUUGGUAAAUUCUGUUUUCCACGGAUUAUCUUCACUGAAAAUUCUCUUAGUGACAUAAUAUAAGACAAUGGACCUUUCAUCCAUGAGAAUCUCGUGUUUUCAAGCUACACAUAGAAUUGUUGUAUAUGAUAAAAUCCAUAGUUGACUUAGUGAAAGGAGUAUUUUGAAAACAAAACAAGACACCGUGGAAAAGUGGUGUUUUCUGUUCUGAGGUGUCAGGAAUUUCAUACAAGAGGCUAGUGUGGGAUUUAUUUUUUCUGUAUACAAUAAUAUUUUGCAUGCAUUUCUUCCUCCUUCCUUCCAGCACAUACUAACCUUACCAUUGCCAGUAUUUCUCAUCAGGGAGUUAACAUGCAGGCUGGGUAUUAGGAAGUAAUUAGGUUUCUUUAUGUAUUCUUAAUUAAUUUUUUAUUUUAUUUUUUAGUGUAGGUACUGGAGAUUGAACCCAGGACCUUGAGCAUGCUAAGCUGUACCCUUCCCCCAGCUAUUAGGAGGAAGGCAGGCGGUGCAGAUCCUGGCUCUGGUGGGAACACGGACCAGGCGAGAGGCAGGCUGAGUGUGAGUGAUGCCCAUUCUGAAGGCGCUGCCUCCGCCCUUCUCUCCCGUGGCUGCCAGGCGGAAGUGCGGGCCCAGACUUGCUUGGUCGCCCGGUUUCUGAGGGUAGCUGGCUAUCAGCAUCUUCAUGUGAAGUCUUUUGAGUCUUCUGAGUUUUUAAUAUUGGCAACCCAUUCAGAUUAAAAAAAAGCAAACACCAUGAAGACCUAAUAAAUUGCUUCAGUAGCCCAGAUUCAGCCCAUGAGGUGCCACUUUUCAACCCAGUAUUAUGAAAAGUUGAUUCAUUUCAUGGAGCACAAAAUCUCAUGUCUGUCUUUCUGAAAAGUGACUGAGUAGGUAACGUACCAGUCAGAAAUGUCCAAGUGGGAGGAGGGGCAGCAGCUUGUGCACAGGCAUCAUCCUACCCAGAAAUGCCUUAGGAGAGCCAUCUCCUCCCACCUAAAAUCACCUAAAAUCAUGUCACAGCCAUAGGUCGUCUCAGCUGUGCUGUAAGCACUUUAUUUCCACUAACUUUGGCACUGAUUACUAAGUUUGAAGAUUAAUACCAGAGAAUUGCAUAAAUGUCAGUUUCCUGAUGGUUGGUUUCAUUUAUUUAUUAAAACUUCAUUCUCUGUAAUACAAACUACCCCAGAGUAGGCCUCAUUUUUAUAGGUUCUGCCAGAAUCGGUCAUGCCAUUAGUGAAAGCUGGCCUUUGUUGUUUCAAAUGCUUAAAACACCAUGGAAAUUAUUAACUCCAAGAGCCUCAGAGGGGCCCUGGCAGCAGGCCACAGCUCCUUCCUUCCUUCGACUCUUGUGUUUAGACCAUUAAAGCAGGAAUUUAAUUAAUUUUUUGAUGAAGCAAAAUCAUUACAGAUAAUAUUCAGGUAGGUUGUAAAGUGAGAAAGGGCUCUUUACUGAAACUUGCCCUAUUUAAGAUCAGAAAGUUGAAGGGAUUAGCACCAAGGGGUGGGAUUUUUCAGGUUCGGAUCAGAUUUGAAUCUGCCCCCAAAUGGUAAUUGACGCCAGAGUCAUCAUUUUGAGAAGGCUGGUUGGGCCUUUGGAAUUAGUCACUGUUGUCAGGCAGGAAGGUGAUUCCAUUUCACAGUAAUUGAAGAUCGGAUAGGAUUCUUUCCCACCCCUGGGUCUGGGCCACAGUUGACUAGCUCCUUGUUUUCUUUGCUGAGGAAAUGGAAGACCGAUCAGCGCAACCCUCUUCCAACACGUCAAUUUGGCACCUCAACAGGGUAACAUUAGAAGCUCUGAAUCAACACUUAGCGGGCAAGUGAAACCAGCUAGCAGUCAGUCCAGGGAACUGAGAUAAGCCCUUCCUUAUCUGGUGGCCCUGAUAAAAGCUUCACCUGCGUUUAGUUUGAUGCCUGUGAAGAAGGGCCCUUUGUGGUAGCUUUUUUGGAAGCCCGCAGUUUUUCUCUGCUCCAGACACUUGCCAAAUAAAAUUUUAUUUAUUUACUUUUCAAUGGCAUGGAGGGAUGCCUCUUUAACCUCUUCUGUUAUCUUCUUUAAAAGGAAGUUUAGCAUCCUGUGAAGAGAGAGCUGGAAUGAGAUUAUCUGGGAUGUUUCCCUGCUUCUCCGCCUACUUACCUUGUGCCCUUUAGGCAAGUAAAGUCCUCUCAGGGAUGGAGUUACUGGGACAUGGCCUACUCUGUGUAUAACGUUUUAAGGAACUAACCAAAUGGCUCUACAAAGUAGAUGUGCAGUUUUACAGCUUCACCAGCAGUUUAUGAAGGUUCCAGUUUCUCAACAUCCUUCUCAACACUGAUUCCACAUAUGAGUGAUGUUACGUGGUAUUUUUCUUUCUCUUUCUGGC